rnacentral:rRNA from 1 species
AAUGAACGUUGGCGGCGUGGAUUAGGCAUGCAAGUCGAGCGAGAACCCAGCAAUGGGGGACAGCGGCGCAAGGGACAGUAAUGUGUAGAUUAUCUGCCCUCAGGUCCGGGAUAGCUGCGGGAAACUGCAGGUAAUACCGGAUAACAUCUCCGGAUCAAAGGUGUGAUUCCGCCUGAGGAUGAGUCUACAUCCUAUUAGCUAGUUGGCAGGGUAAUGGCCUACCAAGGCGAUGAUGGGUAGCGGGUGUGAGAGCACGACCCGCGUCAUUGGGACUGAGACACUGCCCAGACACCUACGGGUGGCUG